GGAAAGGUGGCUGAGUGGUCUAAAGCGGCUCCGUGCUAAGGAGUAGUCUGGGCAACUGGACCGUGGGUUCAAAUCCCACCCUUUCCGCCA
rnacentral:tRNA from 1 species